rnacentral:rRNA from 1 species
GACGAACGCUGGCGGCGUGCUUAACACAUGCAAGUCGUACGGUAAGGCCCUUUCGGGGGUCCACGAGUGGCGAACGGGUGCGUAACACGUGAGUAACCUGCCCACAACUUUGGGAUAACGCUAGGAAACUGGUGCUAAUACUGGAUAUGUGCUCCUGCUGCAUGGUGGGGGUUGGAAAGCUCCGGCGGUUGUGGAUGGACUCGCGGCCUAUCAGCUUGUUGGUGGGGUAGUGGCCUACCAAGGCGGCGACGGGUAGCCGGCCUGAGAGGGUGACCGGCCACAUUGGGACUGAGAUACGGCCCAGACGCCGACGGGAGGCAGCAGUGGGGAAGAUUGCACAAUGGGCGCAAGCCUGAUGCAGCAACGCCGCGUGCGGGAUGACGGCCUUCGGGUUGUAAACCGCUUUCAGCAGGGACGAAGCUUUUUGUGACGGUACCUGCAGAAGAAGCACCGGCUAACUACGUG